rnacentral:lncRNA from 1 species
AGCAGACUUAGCAUUAUUUUAAGUGUGAUCCCCCACUUUGUGCGUCUCUGAAAAAUUACCGUAUUUAACAUGCGGAUUUCACAUCAAUUGCAGACUAAUCUUUCUCUUUCCUAUUAACUUUACCUUUUCUAUUUCUCUUUCUUCCCAAUCUCUCUCUUUCUUUGUAACUUUACCUUUUCUCUUUCUCUUUUUUCUUUCAAAUCUCUCAAAUUUCACUUUCAAAUUUUUUUUUCCUCACAUUUUUCUCAUAUUUUUUAUAAGGAUUGUGAUCCACAAAAUCAGAUAACUAUUAAAUUCAGUUAUUGCAUGUUAUCUAUUUAACAAUUUUUUUUAUAUAUAUUUUGUACUAUAAAUCAUUAUCAAGAUCGUUUUUGAGUUGAUAUAGUUGAAAACAUUGAAUUUUGGUUAAGAAUUGAAAUUGAAUUUUGUUUUGUUGUGAUUAAUGGAGGAUAAUCAGAGUUGAAUGGAUAUUGUAGAUGAUUUUGGGUUGAUUUAUUGUUGAUAUCUUUUUUUCAAUUGUUUUUCAGUGAAUUUUUUUUUUUUAUAUGAGUUGAUAUAGUUGAAAAAAUUGAUUUUGGAUGAGAAUUGGAACUGAAUUUUGUUUUGUUGCAAUUAAUGAAAGAUAAUCGGAGUUGAAUGAAUAUUGUAGAUGAUUUUGGGUUGAUUUGUUGUUGAAGAAGACAUGGAGGAAGAAGUAUUUUUUUGUAUAAGUAUUUUUAUUUACUGUUAUAUAUUUAGGGAUUUCAGUAAAGUUGUUAUCAAUUUUGGGUAAUAUGUAGUUUUUUUGUAAAGCUAAUAUAUAUUUACUGAUUAACUGAUAUGUAUUUAGGGAUUUCAGUAAAGCUGAUUUGUGAAGAUGAUAGGAUAAAUAUACAUUUUGGGUUAACAUAUUUUUAUUUGUAUUUUUUAUAAAACUGCUAUGUUUAGUUGUAUUUGUAUGUUAAAUGAAUUUGCUAAGUUGGAUGUUUGAAAUUUAUUAUACUUGAUAUUUAUUUUCAGUAUAUUAGAAUGUUGAAAUAUACAAAUACAUUCGUGGUUAUGGACGUAUUUGUAUCUGUUGAAAUACAAAUAUAUUUUUAAAUAAUUUUUUAAUACAAUGUAUGUAGAUUUGCCAUAUAUACAAAUGACUGCUAAAUAUACAUUUAAGGUAUAUGAUGUAGUUUGUAUGUUUUAUAGAUACAUAUGCACUUUUAUUUGUAUUUUUGUUAGGUUCAAAAUACAUUUUAAGGUAUAGAAAAACAUUUGUGUUUUGAUACAUACAUAUCAAAUUUCAUAUGUAUUUUGCUUUAGUGAUGAUUUUGUGUUUUUGCUUUGUUCAAAUAUACAUAUGCAUAUUUAUAUGUAUUUUUGGAUGUGUUGAUUGUGUUUUAUCAUUUUUUACAGUUUAAUAAGGUGUAGUUUUACUUUGUAUAGGUACCGCGUGAUGAAAUAUUUAUUAUAAGAAAUUUCCUAGUUCGCACCACAUAUGUGCUGCUACAGUGAUAAUGAUAUUGAGAAAAAUUUACAAUUUAUAUUGGUGUGAAAUAUUGAUGUGUUAUUUGUAGAGGAUUUGUAAGUUUGUACAAAAUAUAUUUUAAUUAUUAUUCAAUGAUUUUUGUAGGAAUUGUGGUUUGUAUAUGGUUACAUACGCAGAGUGCCUUUCGUAUGGUCAAGGCAUUCCUUCAGUUGAGUUCAAUCCCAACGUAUUUCGUACAAGAUAUGCUUCACUAUUGUAAAAUUACAUCAUGAGGAAAAAAGAAGCAAAAGCUCAAAGUGACGACGAAGCAUCAUUGAGGCCUGUUAGAAAAAGUAAGAUAACUAGUGUCACAGAAGUAUUAGAAGUCUGAUGGUUGAUGAUUUUAUUACAUUGUAUAAUUGACAAGAUUUAACUUGAUAUUGAUAUUAAUUGUAGAAACUUAUUUUAUGUUUUGAAGUGAAUCAAACUUACUUAUUUUUGAAGUGAAUGAAAGUAAUUCACUUUAAUCUUUUAUGUUGAAUAUGUUUUCAAUAAUUUUGUAGUCUAUGUUUUAUUUCACUGUUUA